GAACGGCAGCACAGGUAGCAAUACUGGGUGGCGAGUGGCGCACGGGUGCGUAACACGUAUGUAACUUGCCCCUGACUGGAAAAUAGCCCGGAGAAAUUCGGAUUAAUGUUCCAUAAUAUAACGAAGUGGCAUCACUUUGUUAUUAAAGUAUUACGGUCAGGGAUAGACAUGCGUUCGAUUAGCUAGUUGGCGGGGUAACGGCCCACCAAGGCUACGAUCGAUAGGGGACCUGAGAGGGGUAUCCCCCACACUGGUACUGAGACACGGACCAGACUCUUACGGGAGGCAGCAGUGAGGAAUAUUGGACAAUGGCCGCAAGGCUGAUCCAGCCAUGCCGCGUGCAGGAUGACGGCCCUAUGGGUUGUAAACUGCUUUUCUACGGGAAUAAACCUCUUUACGUGUAAAGAGCUGAAGGUACCGUAGGAAUAAGCACCGGCUAACUCCGUGCCAGCAGCCGCGGUAAUACGGAGGGUGCAAGCGUUAUCCGGAUUUAUUGGGUUUAAAGGGUGCGCAGGCGGAACUUUAAGUCAGUGGUGAAAGCCCGAGGCUCAACCUCGGAACUGCCAUUGAUACUGAAGUUCUUGAAUGUAGUUGAUGUGGGCGGAAUGUGCCAUGUAGCGGUGAAAUGCUUAGAUAUGGCACAGAACACCGAUCGUGAAGACAGCUCACAAAACUAUUAUUGACGCUCAGGCACGAAAGC
rnacentral:rRNA from 1 species